AUGAGUAACGAAAAAGGAAUAAAUUUCCUCGCCUUAAGCUUAUGGUAUUUUAUUUAAAUUUCGGUAUCUAAGUUAAAUCUAUAAUAAUAUUAAUUUAUUAUUAAACCCAAAGGGGAUAUUUAAAUUAAAAACGAUGAAAAAGAGAAUAAUUGUUUACAUAACCUUUAUUAGUGAUAAAGGUUCAGGAAAAUAUAACAAUUAAGUUUUAUAUUCUCACUUAAGUAAUUAAGUUAAUAAACCGUACCUAAAUACUAACACAAGUAAGCAAGUAGAGAAUACAAAGGCGUUUGAGUGAACAAUCCUUAAGGAACUCGGCAAAUUGACUACCGUAACUUCGGAAUAAGGAGGGCCAUUAUUCUUGAUAAAAAUUUUUGAUAUAUCAAGUAAAUAAGAGGAAGCAUAAAAUAAUGUUGUACGACUGUUUAAUAAAAACAAAGCACUCUGCAAAGAUUAAUAAUCAAAGUAUUGAGUGUGAUGUCUGCCCAAUGUCGGCUGGGUAACGAAUUUACUUAAUUGUAAAAUUAGGUUUUGAAGGAUACCCCGAUUAAUGGCGGUCUUACCUAUAAGGAUCCAAAGGUAGCGAAAUUCCUUGGCCGUUAAAUGCGGUCCUGCAUGAGUAAAAUUUGAGUUUAGGUAACUCGAAAAAU
rnacentral:ncRNA from 1 species